CAGGACGAACGCUGGCGGCGUGCUUAACACAUGCAAGUCGAACGAUGAAGCCCUUCGGGGUGGAUUAGUGGCGAACGGGUGAGUAACACGUGGGCAAUCUGCCCUUCACUCUGGGACAAGCCCUGGAAACGGGGUCUAAUACCGGAUAACACUCGCCGAGGCAUCUCGGUGGGUUGAAAGCUCCGGCGGUGAAGGAUGAGCCCGCGGCCUAUCAGCUUGUUGGUGAGGUAGAAGCUCACCAAGGCGACGACGGGUAGCCGGCCUGAGAGGGCGACCGGCCACACUGGGACUGAGACACGGCCCAGACUCCUACGGGAGGCAGCAGUGGGGAAUAUUGCACAAUGGGCGAAAGCCUGAUGCAGCGACGCCGCGUGAGGGAUGACGGCCUUCGGGUUGUAAACCUCUUUCAGCAGGGAAGAAGCGAAAGUGACGGUACCUGCAGAAGAAGCGCCGGCUAACUACGUGCCAGCAGCCGCGGUAAUACGUAGGGCGCAAGCGUUGUCCGGAAUUAUUGGGCGUAAAGAGCUCGUAGGCGGUCUGUCACGUCGGAUGUGAAAGCCCGGGGCUUAACCCCGGGUCUGCAUUCGAUACGGGCAGACUAGAGUGUGGUAGGGGAGAUCGGAAUUCCUGGUGUAGCGGUGAAAUGCGCAGAUAUCAGGAGGAACACCGGUGGCGAAGGCGGAUCUCUGGGCCAUUACUGACGCUGAGGAGCGAAAGCGUGGGGAGCGAACAGGAUUAGAUACCCUGGUAGUCCACGCCGUAAACGGUGGGAACUAGGUGUUGGCGACAUUCCACGUCGUCGGUGCCGCAGCUAACGCAUUAAGUUCCCCGCCUGGGGAGUACGGCCGCAAGGCUAAAACUCAAAGGAAUUGACGGGGGCCCGCACAAGCAGCGGAGCAUGUGGCUUAAUUCGACGCAACGCGAAGAACCUUACCAAGGCUUGACAUCGCCCGGAAAGCAUCAGAGAUGGUGCCCCCCUUGUGGUCGGGUGACAGGUGGUGCAUGGCUGUCGUCAGCUCGUGUCGUGAGAUGUUGGGUUAAGUCCCGCAACGAGCGCAACCCUUGUUCUGUGUUGCCAGCAUGCCCUUCGGGGUGAUGGGGACUCACAGGAGACUGCCGGGGUCAACUCGGAGGAAGGUGGGGACGACGUCAAGUCAUCAUGCCCCUUAUGUCUUGGGCUGCACACGUGCUACAAUGGCAGGUACAAUGAGCUGCGAUGUCGCAAGGCGGAGCGAAUCUCAAAAAGCCUGUCUCAGUUCGGAUUGGGGUCUGCAACUCGACCCCAUGAAGUCGGAGUUGCUAGUAAUCGCAGAUCAGCAUUGCUGCGGUGAAUACGUUCCCGGGCCUUGUACACACCGCCCGUCACGUCACGAAAGUCGGUAACACCCGAAGCCGGUGGCCCAACCCCCUUGUGGGGAGGGAGCUGUCGAAGUGGGACUGGCGAUGGG
rnacentral:rRNA from 1 species